CGCGGUAACUCUGACCGUGAUAAAGUAGCAUAAUCACUCGUCACUUAAUUGGUGACUGGAAUGAAUGGCUGAACGAACCUUCCUCUGUCUCCAAGAAAAUUCCGGCGAACUUGAAAUGGCAGUGAAGAUGCUGCCGAGCAACUGCAAGACGAAAAGACCCUAUCGAGCUUUACUGGAAGCUUGCAAACCUAAAAGGGUGUUAACCUGCAUGCCCUAAAAAACUGCAAGCCCGACAGUUUGGUUGGGGCGACCACCCCUAAGAAAGUAUCAGGGGAACUCUAAAGGUGAUUACCAAAUGGAAAAUGCCUUACUGAAAACAAACAAGUCAAUCAGUUACUAUGGGUAGGACAUAAUGACCCGUUACAUAAGUCAUGGAAUGUAACGACCACGAAAAAAAUUACCGUAGGGAUAACAGGGUAAUAUUUUCGGAGAGUUCAUAUCGAUGAAAAUGUUUGCCACCUCGAUGUUGAAUUGUGAUAUCCUGGGGGUGCAGCAGCUCCUAAGGGUUGGUC
rnacentral:rRNA from 1 species